rnacentral:rRNA from 1 species
AACGAACGCUGGCGGCAUGCCUAACACAUGCAAGUCGAACGAUACCUUCGGGUCUUGUGGCGCACGGCUGCGUACCGCGUGGGAACCUGCCCUUAGGUUCGGUAUAACUCCCCGAAAGGGGUGCUAAUACCGGAUAAUGUCUUCGGACCAAAGAUGUAUCGCCUUUGGAUGGGCCCGCGUUGGAUUAGCUAGUUGGUAGGGUAAAAGCCUACCAAGGCGAGGAUGCAUAGCUGGUCUGCGAGGAUGAUCAGCCACACUGGGAAUAAGGCACGGCCCAGUAUCCGACGCGAGGCAGGGGUAGGGAAUAUUGUGCGAGGGGCGAUGGCCUGAUCCAGCAAUGCCGGGGGAGUGAUGAAGGGCUUAGGGUUGUAAAGCUCUUAUAGCCGGGAUGAUAAUGACAGUACCGGGAGAAUAAGCUCCGGCUAACUCCGUG